rnacentral:rRNA from 1 species
AUGAACGCUGGCGGCGUGCCUCAUACCUGCCAGUCGAGCGAACAGACGAGGAGCUUGCUCCUCUGACGUUAGCGGCGGACGGGUGAGUAACACGUGGAUAACCUACCUAUAAGACUGGGAUAACUUCGGGAAACCGGAGCUAAUACCGGAUAAUAUAUUGAACCGCAUGGUUCAAUAGUGAAAGACGGUUUUGCUGUCACUUAUAGAUGGAUCCGCGCCGCAUUAGCUAGUUGGUAAGGUAACGGCUUACCAAGGCAACGAUGCGUAGCCGACCUGAGAGGGUGAUCGGCCACACUGGAACUGAGACACGGUCCAGACUCCUACGGGAGGCAGCAGUAGGGAAUCUUCCGCAAUGGGCGAAAGCUUGACGGAGCAACGCCGCGUGAGUGAUGAAGGUCUUCGGAUCGUAAAACUCUGUUAUUAGGGAAGAACAAAUGUGUAAGUAACUAUGCACGUCUUGACGGUACCUAAUCAGAAAGCCACGGCUAACUACGUG